CUCAACCCCAAUUUCAGCUUUUGCCCAACCCCCUAAAAUAAAAUAAAAUGCAUUCAGGUGAGAAGUAGUGCGUGGAGGGAAAUGACUCAUCAAUACAGCAUUCAUUUUCGGUGAGGAUAAACAUAGUUGCACAUGAUCCCAACACUUGCUCACUAAAGCAUACUUACCAGAAGUCCACUGGCAUGAUUUGAUAAUACAAUGAUGUGCAUUGCAAGCAAAUAUGGUUCUGGACAGAUAGCUUACAGUGAUAAAACACUGCAUUUCUGACAUCUAUUUCCCCUUGCAGUGUAUGUUGGAAUCCCCCAUGGGGUACAAAACAAUCUUUGCAAUUGGCUCAAUCUGGAAUGGGUGGGUAGAGUCACUCUUUAAAACUGUCGGAUUGGUCCAUGAUGUGUAAACUCCACCCUCCAGCAGACCAGUGCACACCAGCUGCAUGAAAUCAAGAGCACCUAAUCGCAAUUGGGAAAAUGAACCAAUUGAAAUUAAGUUCAUUGGUUGACACCUGUACAUAAUUAGUCAUUCAGGUAAGAAGGGUCUGGGAUUCCUUUAUGAGGUGCAACCAAAACAGCUGUUAGACAUUGCAACAGGGAUAUUCUGGCAGGGUGUCUGUCUAGCAUUAGUUCUGAAUACGGUUGUGGUUUUGAUAACUAAUAUGGCUUUUGGACUCUCUUUGAGUGUUUCUUGGAUUUGUUGCCUGCUAAUUGGAGGGAUAACUUGUUUUACACUUAAAGGUAAUGCUCAUGGGCAUCCUACCUACACUGGACCUGAACCAACUGGAUCCUAUGCCCAAGCAAGUGUGGUGUCUGGUCCAAAUGCUAAAGCUACUGGCCAAAAUGCCACGUCAGCAGAAGCUACUGGCCACAAUGCCACGUCAGCAGAAGCUACUGGCCACAAUGCCAUGUCAAGUGUCAAGUCCGGCCCCGGCGCCUCAGCAGAAGCAACAGGCCCCGGCGCCUCAGCAGAAGCAACAGGCCCCGGCGCCUCAGCAGAAGCAACAGGCCCCGGCGCCUCAGCAGAAGCAACAGGCCCCGGCGCCUCAGCAGAAGCAACAGGCCCCGGCGCCUCAGCAGUAGCGUCCGGCCCCGGCGCCUCAGCAGUAGCGACAGGCCCCGGCGCCUCAGCAGAAGCGACAGGCCCCGGCGCCUCAGCAGAAGCGACAGGCCCCGGCGCCUCAGCAGAAGCGACAGGCCCCCGCGCCUCGUCAGCAGAAGCUACUGGCCACAAUGUCACGUCAGCAGAAGCUACUGGCCACAAUGCCACGUCAGCAGAAGCUACUGGCCACAAUGCCAUGUCAAGUGUAAAGUCCGGCCCCGGCGCCUCAGUAGAAGCAACAGGCCCCGGCGCCUCAGCGGUAGCGUCCGGCCCCGGCGCCUCAGCGGAAGCAACAGGCCCCGGCGCCUCAGCGGAAGCAACAGGCCCCGGCGCCUCAGCUGAAGCAACAGGCCCCCGGCGCCUCAGCAGAAGCAACAGGCCCCGGCGCCUCAGCAGAAGCAACAGGCCCCGGCGCCUCAGCAGAAGCAACAGGCCCCGGCGCCUCAGCAGAAGCGGCAGGCCCCGGCGCCUCAGCAGAAGCGACAAGCCUUGAACAGACGGCCCGACCUCUCAACUAGGGAGAUCAUAAUUUGGUUUGGCCAACUCUUUAAUCGUCUUAUCCCUGUUACCUUUACCCUUUUCUGCAAGAGGCACAGUAACUGAGGUGGGGAAAUGUGUGAACUAAUGCGCUUGUUUGAAAUGAGGAUCUCCUUCACUUGUACAUCGUCAUGCAAAUUGUAUACAGAGGUGGAUGAUACAAUGUUAUGAAUCGUUUUUAUAAACCUACGACUAAAUUGACUUCUGAUGUAGCGAUAUUGCAGACACACUUUUAGGUUCUACGGUUAUGCUUUUGAUUUAGCCUGGUGUUCCUGCAACUCUUGCAUGAUUUGCUCAAUAAACCAUUUGACUUUCAAAAAACCUUGUCCUUAAAAUAUAAUCUCUUCUGCCUACCAUGUGCUUGCUGUUUGGUAACAGACUGUGGGCCUGGAGUAAAAGGGAAUUUGCGUUUUUGUUAUACACUUGUCUAAACAGAUUUGUUUCUGCUAGUUUGUUCUAAAGUUUUCUAACUUGUCAGAGCUCCCUCAUAUGUUCAUACACUACCUGUCCCUUAGUGUAGGCUGUUUGCUUUACAGUAAUCUGCCUUUUUCCACCAAUGCCUAAAGAAUGUGAAUGCAGUGUAACUCAUCGUCCCAUUACCUGUCACUAACCUGUCCCAGGGACGCUGAAGUUUCUCCUUGACCUUAUUCAGAAACAUUAAAUCAACUUGACACAUUCUGACUGUUCUACAAUGUUGGUCUGGCCAGACACAUGGAUGCAAUCAUAUGCGUGCAUUUAUUUCAGCUGUGAAAAGUACUCGAAGUCGUUCAGACAUUCCUUAUGUCAACUCUCAAUGUGGUCUUCUGCACAAUCCAUUUCUACACUACCACAAUGAGGUUGCACUCGCAGAAGCCCCUGACAGGAACUUCAAUAGAUUUUAUAAAGGUGCUCUUAAGCUCUCACUUUGUACAACAUUA
ensembl:lncRNA